AAGAGCUCAAAAUUCCCAAAGCCUAUAGCCAUUGUAAAAGAAUCCAUUGAGAAAAAAAAAAAAAAACUCUGUAAACAGUCAAUGGCAUCAUCGCCUGCCCAGGACGAUGCUUUGAAGAAACUCGAAUAUCUCUCUCUCGUCUCCAAAGUCAGUUCCGAGCUCGAGAGCCAUGUUGGGUUUGCCGAUAAGGUUUUGGCCGAAUUCAUCACCGACAUGGGCCGUCACUCUAACACUGUCGAUGAAUUCGAUGCCAAGCUCAAAGAAAACGGUGCCGAGUUGCCCGAUUACUUCGUUCGCACGCUUCUCACUAUUAUCCACGCGAUCCUGCCUCCGAAACCCAAAGCCGCCGACAAGGAUUCCAAGGCGGAAAACACCGGUGACGGUAAGAAGUCUAAAUUUAAAGCUUUAGCGAUUGCUGAUGAUAAGGAUAGAGCCAAAGAACUAGAGGAGGAAAUUGAGAUGGAGAUGCGAGAUAGGAAGGACAAGGAUAGGGAUAGGGAUAGGGAUAGGGAUAAGAGGGACAGAGAUAGGCAUAGGGAUAGAGAUAGGGGCAGAGAUAGGAGUAGGCAUAGAGAUAGAUAUAAGGAGGAGGAGGAGGAGGAGGAUAGGAGAGAUUAUGGCAUUCGAGGAAGAAAUAGGAAUCGAACCCGGGAUAAUGAGGAUGACAGGGAUUAUAGGAAUAGGGGCAGAAACAGGGACCGGGAUAAUGUAGAACGUGAUGAAGAUGGGGGAAGGAGGAGUAAUGGGAAGUAUAGGGAUAAUGAGCCUGAAUUGUAUAAGGUAUACAAGGGGAGGGUUUCGAGAGUGAUGGAUUCGGGUUGUUUCGUUCAGUUGAAUGAGUUAAGGGGAAAGGAGGGUUUGGUUCAUGUUUCCCAGAUGGCUAGUAGAAGGAUUCCCAAUGCUAAAGAUGUUGUGAAACGGGAUCAGGAGGUUUAUGUGAAGGUAAUUUCGAUUUCAGGUCAGAAGUUGAGUUUGUCUAUGAGAGAUGUUGAUCAGAAUACUGGUAGAGAUUUGCUGCCAUUGAAGAAGAGUUCAGAUGAUGAUGCCUUUAGAACCAAUCCUUCAGGGGGGAAAGAAGGGCCUGUGACAAGAACUGGUCUUUCAGGGAUUAGGAUUCUAGAGGAUGAGGAUGCUGCCCCAUCGCGUAGGCCUUUGAAGAGAAUGAGUUCACCGGAGAGGUGGGAAGCCAAACAGUUGAUUGCUUCUGGUGUUUUGAGCCUAGAUGAGUAUCCCAUGUAUGACGAGGACGGAGAUGGAAUGCUUUAUCAAGAAGAGGGUGCCGAGGAAGAGUUGGAGAUUGAGAUGAAUGAGGAUGAACCUGCCUUUUUACAAGGGCAGACUAGGUACUCUGUCGAUAUGUCACCGGUAAAAAUAUUUAAAAAUCCAGAAGGGUCCUUGAGUCGUGCCGCUGCUCUCCAGUCUGCACUUAUUAAGGAACGGAGAGAAGUACGAGAGCAGCAGCAGAGGACAAUGCUGGAUUCAAUUCCAAAGGAUCUUAAUCGUCCUUGGGAAGACCCAAUGCCAGAGACUGGUGAGAGGCAUCUUGCGCAGGAGCUUAGAGGUGUUGGAUUGUCAGCAUAUGAUAUGCCUGAAUGGAAGAAGGAUGCUUAUGGAAAAGCUUUGACUUUUGGACAGAGGUCUAAACUUUCAAUUCAAGAGCAGAGGCAGAGCCUUCCCAUUUAUAAACUGAAAAAAGAACUCGUUCAAGCUGUCCAUGAUAAUCAGGUACUGGUGGUCAUUGGUGAGACUGGUUCAGGUAAGACUACACAGGUAACCCAGUACCUUGCUGAGGCUGGGUACACUACAAGGGGUAAGAUCGGAUGUACUCAACCUCGUAGGGUGGCUGCAAUGUCUGUGGCGAAGAGGGUAGCUGAGGAAUUUGGUUGUCGGUUAGGGGAGGAAGUUGGUUAUGCUAUUCGUUUUGAAGAUUGUACUGGACCAGAUACUGUCAUCAAGUACAUGACUGACGGCAUGCUUCUAAGGGAGAUUCUGAUUGAUGAGAAUCUUUCUCAAUACUCGGUCAUUAUGCUUGAUGAAGCACAUGAGCGUACAAUUCAUACUGAUGUCCUUUUUGGGUUAUUGAAGCAGCUUGUGAAACGGAGGCCUGAUCUUCGUCUGAUUGUUACAUCUGCUACACUGGAUGCGGAGAAGUUUUCAGGGUAUUUCUUCAACUGUAAUAUUUUCACAAUUCCUGGGAGAACGUUUCCUGUGGAGAUACUCUAUACGAAACAGCCUGAGAGUGACUACCUAGAUGCUGCUUUGAUAACAGUCCUGCAGAUACACUUGACUGAACCUGAAGGUGACAUUCUCCUCUUCUUGACUGGUCAGGAGGAAAUUGAUUUUGCAUGCCAGUCUCUUUACGAGAGGAUGAAAGGGCUAGGUAAAAAUGUUCCAGAGUUGAUUAUUUUACCAGUUUAUAGUGCCCUUCCUAGUGAAAUGCAGUCUAGGAUUUUCGAUCCUGCACCUCCAGGGAAAAGGAAGGUGGUGGUGGCAACCAAUAUUGCUGAGGCUUCUUUAACUAUAGAUGGAAUAUUCUACGUGGUUGAUCCUGGUUUUGCAAAACAAAAUGUUUAUAAUCCAAAGCAAGGGCUUGAUUCCCUAAUCAUAACACCAAUCUCACAAGCAUCAGCAAAGCAACGUGCUGGGCGUGCUGGACGUACUGGACCUGGAAAAUGCUACCGCUUAUACACUGAAAGUGCAUAUCGAAAUGAGAUGUCACCUACCACAAUUCCUGAAAUCCAGAGGAUUAAUCUUGGCACGAUAACACUACAAAUGAAGGCCAUGGGCAUAAAUGAUCUCCUUUCUUUUGAUUUUAUGGAUCCCCCUCCACCCCAAGCUCUCAUUUCUGCCAUGGAGCAAUUAUACAGUCUAGGGGCUCUUGAUGAGGAGGGACUUUUGACUAAAUUGGGUAGAAAAAUGGCAGAAUUUCCUCUUGAUCCUCCACUAUCCAAGAUGUUACUGGCCAGCGUGGACCUCGGGUGUAGUGAUGAGAUAUUGACAAUUAUUGCAAUGAUCCAAACAGGUAACAUCUUCUACAGGCCAAGGGAAAAGCAAGCUCAGGCUGAUCAGAAGAGGGCCAAGUUUUUCCAGCCUGAAGGAGAUCAUUUGACUCUACUUGCUGUAUAUGAAGCUUGGAAAGCAAAGAACUUUUCAGGACCUUGGUGUUUUGAAAAUUUUGUUCAGUCUAGAUCCUUGAGGAGGGCACAGGAUGUCAGAAAACAGCUUCUCAGCAUCAUGGAUAAGUACAAAUUGGAUGUAGUGAGCGCCGGAAAGAACUUUACAAAGAUCAGGAAAGCUAUCACGGCAGGGUUCUUUUUCCAUGCUGCUAGGAAAGACCCGCAGGAAGGAUAUAGAACACUGGUGGAGAACCAGCCUGUUUAUAUACACCCAAGCAGCGCCCUGUUUCAGAGACAACCGGACUGGGUGAUCUACCAUGAGCUGGUAAUGACUACAAAGGAGUACAUGCGAGAGGUAACAGUGGUAGAUCCCAAGUGGCUGGUUGAACUGGCUCCCAGGUUCUUUAAAGUAGCAGAUCCCACGAAAAUGAGCAAGCGGAAGCGUCAAGAACGAAUUGAACCACUUUAUGAUAGAUAUCAUGAACCUAAUUCUUGGCGGCUUAGUAAACGACGAGCUUGAUAUCUUUUCGUCUGCUCUGCUCUGCAUCGCACCUUGUAUUUCUCUGUUCAAAGUUGAGGUUUGGUUGAGGUUUCACAGGUGGAAUGCUCCCUUCAUUUUUUUCGUUCCAUGCCUUGAUCGUACGAGGAGGGAUGCUCUGUUCAUUCCUAAAGAAAUUAUGCGGAUCCACUACUGUCUUCACAUCCACCAAUCUCUCAAAAUUUCCAUUGAAGUAACUCUCUCCAUAAACUUUACCUUCUUGAUAGCUCCAAUUCUUGGUGAUGCCAAUAUCAAGGUCCCUAUAGUUCAAAUAAGCACUCCUUGGGUUUUUAGACACAAAGCUGGUCAUGUAACUGUGAAGCCUAUUCACCAGGCUUCUGCUCCUUUUGUCAGCCUCAAUUCCCAUAUCCUUCCAGUUUAUUGAAUACUGUAUCUUAAACAAAUUCCCUGCUCUAUGUGGGAAUGGUGUCUCUGUUUCCUUUAUUUCAUUCAUUUUUCCUCCA